rnacentral:rRNA from 1 species
GUAAUCGUAGAUAAGAACGCUACGGUGAAUACGUACUCGGAUUUUGCACAAACUGCCCGUCACGCGCUGGGAGUUGAUCAGGCUUUAAGGGUAAACUAUGCAAUUAAACUUAACAAUUUAGUUGUUUUGGUGCUCGACAGUGGGGUCGGUAACCGGGGUGAAGUCGUAACAAGGUAGUUGUAGGGGAACCUGUAGCUGGAGAAGUUGUAUUAUCAUAAAAAUAAGGACAUAACAUUAUUCUUUUUUGUUAAUAAUAUCAAUUUUUAUUCAAUGAAAAUCUAGGCAAUAAAGCUAGGUUUUAGUAAAAAAAUAUUCACCUAAAGGGUGGUGAAGUAACCUGGGAGAAAUCUAAUCUUUUUUUUUGGGAAUUGAAACAUCUUAGUACCAUUUUAAAAACCAUUAGGGACUUCACUAGUAGCGGUGAGCAAACGUGGAUUAGUCUAUUUCAUACAUUGAAAACAUAGUAAAUAAAAGUUGAAGAUAGGGGCCCAUUCUCUAAGACUACAGCAAUUUUUUUUGACCGAUAGCGAAAUAGUACUGUGAAGGAAUGAUGAAAUAACAACUAACAAAAGAGUGUAAUAGCGGUAUAAUUGAAUAAGAAUAGCAUAGCAGUAUUCCUUACUUGCUUUUACCUUUUGCAUAAUGGAUCAACAACUUGAUUAUGUAAGCAAAGUUAAUCUUAUAAGUUUGGUUAAUACAAAAAAGUUUACUUAAUCAGACUCGAAACCAAAUGAUCUAUUUGUAGACAAGCUGAAUGUAGUGCUUACGCAUUAUUGGAAGGCUGAACCCGUGCCUGUUGCAAAAGUUUGGGAGGAUCUACAAUUAGGGGUGAAAGGCUAAUCAAAUUUGGAGAUAUCUGGUUUUCCGCGAAAUCUAUUUUAGUAGAGCAUUUUAAUAAAUGAGGAUAUGGGGUAAAGCACUAUUGUAUAAAGGGCGGCUUGCCCGGCUGUACUAAUGUACGAUAAACUUUGAAUACAUAUCUUUUAUUUAAAAUAGACAGUCUUGGAAUGUGAAGGUUCUAGGUCAAAAGGGAAACAGCCCUGACUACUUAUUAAGAUCCAUAAAUACUGUACUUUAAGGUUAUUACUUCUCUCAGACGACUGAGAGAUGCGCCUGGAAUCAGCUAUUCUUUAAAGAAAUCGUAAAAGAUCAUCAGUUUAGAGGGGUAAUACCAAUAAUUUUUUUGGACGUUAAAUGGUAUUUCGAAAUAGUAGGUAUCCUAUGAUACGGUAGCGGAACGUUAUGUUUUUUUACUAAUUUUUGUUAAAAAAUUUUAAAAAUCAUAAUUGAUUUUGUUGAUAUGAGUAACGCAAAAUAAUUUUUAUUAUCACCUAAUAAUAAAGGUUCUGAAAAGGAUAAUACGAUCUCUAAAGUUACAAAGUAAAUUAAUAUUUAACAAUCAAACUGAGGAGAAUAAAACAAUAGUAAAAGAUUAAAAAAGACUAAAGUAAUUUAUUAAAAUUAUGAAUACAUUUUUUGAGCUAGAAAAUCUAAUUGUUUUUAAAUCGUUCUAAAACCGACACUGGUAUUUGGUGGACAACACUAAGGUGAUAAAGUUAACAAUGUCGAAGGAACUCGGCAAAUUAACUCCGUAACUUCGGGAUAAGGAGGGAUGCUGAUGUUAAUUUUUAACAUCGGUAACCGACAGAAAAAUGAGAGGGGCGACUGUUUAUUAAAAACACAAGACUCAGCUAAAUUUUAAAUGCUGUAUUGGGUCUGAGACCUGCCCGGUGCCCUGUCGUGAAAAGGAGAAGUUAAAGGCUUUAAUUUGAAUCCAGGGUAAACGGCGGCUGUAACCUUGACGGUCCUAAGGUAGCGAAAUUCCUUGUCGGGUAAGUUCCGACGUGCAUGAGUGGUAUAACGACCUCUUUACUGUCUCCGACGUUGGCUUUGUGAAAUUGAAAUUCCCGUGCAGAUGCGGGAUAUAUGCAGAUAGACGGAAAGACCCCGUGCACCUUUACUAUAGUUUUUCAUUGUUUAAUUUAAGUAGAUGCGUAGUAUAGAUGGUAAACUUUAAUAAAAGGUCCAGGCUAAUUAAAACGUUAACAGUGAAAUAACAUCCUUUUAUUUACUUUAAAAUUGAUCCUGUGUUUGGUAAGAUACAGAUUUUUAAAAUGUUUAACGGGUAGUUUGACUGGGGCGGUAACCUCCUAAAAUGUAACGGGGGUACACAAAGGUAAGUUAAAAAAUAAAAUCUUUUAAGUCCAAUGGCUAAAAUUUACUUAACUGCUAGAGAGACAUCUCAAGCAGAGAUGAAAGUCGGUCAUAGUGACCCGAUAAUCUUGUAUGGAAAAGUUAUCGUCUACGGAUAAAAGGUACGCCGGGGAUAACAGGCUGAUAGUUCUUGAGAGUCCUCAUUGACGGAAUUGUUUGGCACCUCGAUGUCGACUCGUCACAUCCUGGAGCUGUAGGAGGUUCCUAGGGUUCGGCUGUUCGCCGAUUAAAGUGGUACGUGAGUUGGGUUUAAAACGUCGUAAGACAGUUUGGUCCCUAUCUUCUGUAUAUUAGAAUAAUUUGCAAAAUUUAAUCUAGUACGAGAGGGCCGAUGAGACUGCAUUGAUAGUCAAAUAGUUGUUUGUUGCAUAGCUAUUUAGCUAUGUUCAGUAUAUAUAACCGCUGAAAGCAUCUUAAGUGGGAAGAUAAAUUGCAAAAAUUCGUCUUAUGCGUGUAAUUAAAUUAUUACUAUUUAGGUUCUGGUUAUUAGUGGUAAUGCUUAAAAUACAAGAUACUAAUAGCCUUACGUGUAUUUGUAC